rnacentral:lncRNA from 1 species
CAGCAGAAUAAAUGGUGCACAAAGGGAUUUAAAAUCUUGACAUCUGUGUAUUUUGGCAGACGUUGGGAAACUUAACAGUUUGAGUUGUUAGUUUACCUGCCAAACCCAAACGAAAAGAUAGGCAACAGUGUACCUCUCCCUGGCGACAUAAUCACAUAAGCAAUUGAAAGCCGCCGCACGCGGCACAACGACCGAUCGAUUGCUUCAAGGCAGAGCUUCGUAUCCCACAAUCAGCGUACCGACCGAUUGGAUGCCGAUGAUGUUUAGGAGUAUAGUACACGUGUCAAAAUGUCAGUAUCCCAAUUAUCAAUUUCUACUGCACUAGCCUACAAGCGUACUAAAUCUUCAAAGUUGACAGGUAAUUCAGAAAGAUUUGUGCACCCACCGGGAUGCACAAGGAUUCUGCAGUCUCUCAGAUGUAAUACCUCAAGCCCCUGAAGCCGUUCAAUCGAGGGGGAAAGCUCUUCGAUAGAUGUUCCAUCCAAAUGAAGCUCAACUUU